CAUGUCUAAAAGCAAUCAAUACACAGGUACAAUGAUCAUGGAAUUAGUUAUGAGUUUUGAGCUCUCUACAUGCCUCACCAAAAAACUUAAAAGCUCAUUUAAAGUUACGAAUCAAUUCAUGUCACUUUAUAACUUGUCUUUCGUCUAGAGAGUAAUAACAUGUUUAGUUGGGGGUUUAUGAAUAAGUUCCAGUCCAAUUCGGCAGGCCCAUCACCAGUUCAUGCCUCCCUUGCUUGCUUCGCCUCCGGCCACUUUCGUUCCUCCACUCUUUCAUGUCAGUCAAUUGAAGCCACCAGUUCCUCCGUUCCUCUCGACAACCUCUGUCUUGUUUAUGCGUUCAGUUUAGGGGUGAAACAGUAUAACUAGCAUGAUGUGGAGUCGAGGAAACUAGCGUGAUGUGGAGUCAGGUAUUCAUGGAGCUGUGACUGAAAGUUGUCAUCAGUGGGGUAUUCCACUUGACCUAAUUUAAAUGAAUGGUUAAAGGUUAUUUGAAUUGUGGUCUCCAUGUGUGUGUGUUUUUUUCCUUGUUGGACAUAUUUUCUAUGGAGAGAGCACAUUAACAAGGAAUUACUAUUUGUGGUCCUACCAACUCGUAGGAAGGGUGCCUCUGUUUUACUUGGUGAAUAUGAUCUAUGUCUGUAAGAGGAGUUUGUUACUGGUUUGUCUUUUUUUAAUGUGAUCAUCUGUUUUUUCUGUU